rnacentral:rRNA from 1 species
AUUGGACAAUGGGGGGAACCCUGAUCCAGCCAUGCCGCGUGUGUGAAGAAGGCCUUAUGGUUGUAAAGCACUUUAAGCGAGGAGGAGGCUCUUUUGGUUAAUACCCAAGAUGAGUGGACGUUACUCGCAGAAUAAGCACCGGCUAACUCUGUGCCAGCAGCCGCGGUAAUACAGAGGGUGCAAGCGUUAAUCGGAUUUACUGGGGGUAAAGCGCGCGUAGGCGGCCAAUUAAGUCAAAUGUGAAAUCCCCGAGCUUAACUUGGGAAUUGCAUUCGAUACUGGUUGGCUAGAGUGUGGGAGAGGAUGGUAGAAUUCCAGGUGUAGCGGUGAAAUGCGUAGAGAUCUGGAGGAAUACCGAUGGCGAAGGCAGCCAUCUGGCCUAACACUGACGCUGAGGUGCGAAAGCAUGGGGAGCAAACAGAAUUAGAUACCCUGGUAGUCCAUGCCGUAAACGAUGUCUACUAGCCGUUGGGGCCUUUGAGGCUUUAGUGGCGCAGCUAACGCGAUAAGUAGACCGCCUGGGGAGUACGGUCGCAAGACUAAAACUCAAAUGAAUUGACGGGGGCCCGCACAAGCGGUGGAGCAUGUGGUUUAAUUCGAUGCAACGCGAAGAACCUUACCUGGCCUUGACAUAGUAGAAACUUUCCAGAGAUGGAUUGGUGCCUUCGGGAAUCUACAUACAGGUGCUGCAUGGCUGUCGUCAGCUCGUGUCGUGAGAUGUUGGGUUAAGUCCCGCAACGAGCGCAACCCUUUUCCUUACUUGCCAGCAUUUCGGAUGGGAGCUUUAAGGAUACUGCCAGUGACAAACUGGAGGAAGGCGGGGACGACGUCAAGUCAUCAUGGCCCUUACGGCCAGGGCUACACACGUGCUACAAUGGUCGGUACAAAGGGUUGCUACCUAGCGAUAGGAUGCUAAUCUCAAAAAGCCGAUCGUAGUCCGGAUUGGAGUCUGCAACUCGACUCCAUGAAGUGGGAAUCGCUAGUAAUCGCGGAUCAGAAUGCCGCGGUGAAUACGUUCCCGGGCCUUGUACACACCGCCCGUCACACCAUGGGAGUUUGUUGCACCAGAAGUAGCUAGCCU